CUGGUCUGUAGGCUGGGUGACUUCACACGGAGCACUGGUACUGGUCUGUAGGCUGGGUGACUUCACACGGAGCACUGGUACUGGUCUGGCCACCUGCUGUCCAGGAGACACAUUUUUAUUGCAGUGUUUAAGGGAACCCCUGUAGAGACACAGCAAAACAACGAGAGAGAAGAGAGGGCAAAGCCUGCCGGGAAGUGGCAUGCAGAGCCACAUUUUAGCGUACCACCACACGGUGCCCACAGCACUGGGGUGCCGAGCCAGCAGAAAUGAUUUCUUCAGCAAAUGUACCAGCUGUCAUCACUGAAGUAUGGGCAAACCCAGAAGACCUAUGAUGCCUGGAGCUCCAAGUUGAGUACUCUUCAGGGCCAUCUCGGGCUGGAGAAGUACAGGCAGCAUUUCUGAGGCUGGACCACCUGGGGCUAGCUGCUUUGAAGAUGUCCUGGAUACAGAUUUGAGGGAGCACCUGAAGCUGGCAAGUUGCUGAAGCAGUCUACAGUUGAUUUGAAAUCUGUUGGGACAGAUAGACUAGGAAGAGAAGGUAUUAUGUUUAUACAGUGAAGAGACCCACGGAGGUUUCCCAGUGAGAACUUACUCAGGAUCCAAGAAUUUACCCAGCAGUGAGACACGCCUGCUCCUGGCUGCACCAAUCUACUUUAGAGAAGAUGAUGGGC